rnacentral:tRNA from 1 species
AGCUGUAGCUAAAUGGUUAUGGUGUUCGCUUUGUAAGCGAAUGGUUCUGGGUUCGAUUCCCAUCUGCU